rnacentral:rRNA from 1 species
GACGAACGCUGGCGGCGUGCUUAACACAUGCAAGUCGAACGGAAAGGCCCUGCUUUUGUGGGGUGCUCGAGUGGCGAACGGGUGAGUAACACGUGAGUAACCUGCCCUUGACUUUGGGAUAACUUCAGGAAACUGGGGCUAAUACCGGAUAGGAGCUCCUGCUGCAUGGUGGGGGUUGGAAAGUUUCGGCGGUUGGGGAUGGACUCGCGGCUUAUCAGCUUGUUGGUGGGGUAGUGGCUUACCAAGGCUUUGACGGGUAGCCGGCCUGAGAGGGUGACCGGCCACAUUGGGACUGAGAUACGGCCCAGACUCCUACGGGAGGCAGCAGUGGGGAAUAUUGCACAAUGGGCGGAAGCCUGAUGCAGCAACGCCGCGUGCGGGAUGACGGCCUUCGGGUUGUAAACCGCUUUCGCCUGUGACGAAGCGUGAGUGACGGUAAUGGGUAAAGAAGCACCGGCGAACUACGUG